rnacentral:rRNA from 1 species
AGUAACGCGUGAGGAACCUGCCUCAAAGAGGGGGACAACAGUCGGAAACGACUGCUAAUACCGCAUAAGCCCACAGCUCGGCAUCGAGCAGAGGGAAAAGGAGUGAUCCGCUUUGAGAUGGCCUCGCGUCCGAUUAGCUAGUUGGUGAGGUAAUGGCCCACCAAGGCGACGAUCGGUAGCCGGACUGAGAGGUUGAACGGCCACAUUGGGACUGAGACACGGCCCAG